ACUCCUACGGGAGGCAGCAGUGAGGAAUCUUGCGCAAUGGGGGCAACCCCGACGCAGCAACGCCGCGUGAGUGAAGAAGGCCUUCGGGUCGUAAAGCUCUGUCAAGUGGGAAGAAUAGCCUGAAGACGAAUAAUCUUCAGGUAUGACGGUACCACUGGAGGAAUUACCGGCUAACUCCGUGCCAGCAGCCGCGGUAAU
rnacentral:rRNA from 1 species